rnacentral:misc_RNA from 1 species
GAUGAAGAACGCAGCGAAAUGCGAUAAGUAAUGUGAAUUGCAGAAUUCAGUGAAUCAUCGAAUCUUUGAACGCACAUUGCGCCCGCCAGUAUUCUGGCGGGCAUGCCUGUCCGAGCGUCAUUUCAACCCUCGAACCCCUCCGGGGGGUCGGCGUUGGGGAUCGGCCCUUUACGGGGCCGGCCCCGAAAUACAGUGGCGGUCUCGCCGCAGCCUCUCCUGCGCAGUAGUUUGCACACUCGCAUCGGGAGCGCGGCGCGUCCACAGCCGUUAAACACCCCAAACUUCUGAAAUGUUGACCUCGGAUCAGGUAGGAAUACCCGCUGAACUUAAGCAUAUAAUAAGCGGAGGA